GAAAUGCUUCUGCUUCUUGGGGAUUAGCACCUGCAUGGAGGCCUCAUCCUGGAGUGCCUGGAAGAGUAUUUUGGCUGUGGUGAUGCAUGUUUGUACGUUGCCUGUAAAAACAGUCUCUGAAGAAAGGAGUCUCUCGAUGU